UACGUAGGGUGCAAGCGUUAAUCGGAAUUACUGGGCGUAAAGCGUGCGCAGGCGGUUCCGCAAGUCAGAUGCGAAAUCCCCGGGCUUAACCUGGGAAUUGCAUUUGAAACUAUGGAGCUAGAGUGUGUCAGAGGGGGGUAGAAUUCCACGUGUAGCAGUGAAAUGCGUAGAGAUCGGGAGGAACAUCUGUGGCGAAGGCGGCCAUCUGGACCAGCACUGACACUGAGGCACGAAAGCGUGGGGAGCAAACAGG
rnacentral:rRNA from 1 species